GCUUCAAUUUGAUAUAUCGCCCAACGUUCAGUGUUGAGUAUUUCUGCUCAUAACUCAGAAAAACUAAAAUACACUGGCUUCAAUUUCCCCCCCUGAGUUAGCCUUCCAGUUUAUUUAUAGUUCAAUGGUGCAGGCUAAUAAUUUCCGUUUUCUCCCGUUUUAUCCCAUUUUCCGCGUUUUAUCCCUUUCUCCGCGUUUUAUCUCGUUUCUCGAAUUUAUCCCUUUCCCUCAUUUUCUCCUUUCUGCGUUUUAUCCUUUUUUCACGUUUUAUUUUUUCUUUGCUCUGAAGUAUUUGAUAUUGUAAUAUGCUAUGCAUUACAGGCUUAUCAUGAACAAUUAAAUUAAUAGUUUUUCUUAAAUUUUAGUUUGUUAUCAUUACAGCUGCAGACGGUUUAGCAAAAUGUAAAUAAUUUUUAAUUAAUUUUUUUUCUGUGCUGCUGUUGUGUACUCAGGUGAAUAAUAUGUUUGUGAUGUUACUCUGAGUGCAUAUCCACACCGGGCGAGCUUGAAAAAGAAGCACAGAAAAAAAUUGAUAUUACAAGAACACAUUGGUAUUGAAGGAACUAGAUACUGUUCCGAAAUAUCACUUACU